GACGAACGCUGGCGGCGUGCUUAACACAUGCAAGUCGAACGAAGUGGCGAACGGGUGAGUAACGCGUAAUCAACCUGCCCUUCAGAGGGGGACAACAGUUGGAAACGACUGCUAAUACCGCAUACCUAAGGCGGGAAUUGCGCCUGAUUCUUCAGUUGAAGGGGUAACGGCCCACCAAGGCGAUGAUAAGUAGCCUGUCUGAGAGGAUGAACGGCUACAUUGGGACUGAGACACGGCCCAGACGCCUACGCGAGGCAGCAGUGGGGAAUCUUCCGCAAUGGACGAAAGUCUGACGGAGCAACGCCGCGUGAGUGAUGACGGCCUUCGGGUUGUAAAGCUCUGUUAAUCGGGACGCGGUACCGGAAUAGAAAGCCACGGCUAACUACGUGCCAGCAGCCGCGGUAAUAC
rnacentral:rRNA from 1 species